UCAAAAAAUCAUAAUAAUUUUGCAGAUAUUCAUUCAACAAUUAAAAAACAUUAUUAAAUCUCCAAAAAUUUGCACAAUUUAAAAAAUUCGACCGAAAGAACCAUAGUCAAAGUUUCAAAAAUGUGUACUAAUUGAAGACAGCUGCAUGACUAAAAAUUUUAACAAUUAAAAAAAUGUAUAGCAAUAAAUGAAAAAUUUGGUGGUUGAAAAACUUAUUUGAAACUUUUGAAAUCUAAAAAUAAUACAAAAUUAACGUGAAUUUUGGAAAAGGUUGUUAUUACCAAAUCUAUAACGCUAUGACUUUUCACUCCAUCAAAAGGUGUGAUAUGAGUAUAAAUAGAGCUAAGAAUUGUUCCUAUCCUGUAAAAUUACACGGGUUUCACUCAGUUAUUGAAGAAAUAUUUCGCUUCAACCGCUAUUUGCACUACAUGUUCUAUGAAAAAGGCGUGGCUUCAUGAAAUUCGGCAAAAUAAAGUUAAUUUGUGAAAAAACUCAGGUGACACAGCACAAAAGAUUCCCUUGAUAUUAUAGUCCUGAUAUUACGCAAUAUUUACUACGCGCCCCCUUUUAUACGAAUAUGCAUGUUAUUCUUGCUAGGUAUCGGAAAAAUUCAGAUUUUCAGGCGUGACGUGACAAGAGGGGGAGGGGUCACGACGAGCGUGACAAAGGCGUGACAACAGGGGAGGGGGGGUCCUAAAAAAGGGCUUUUUUGCGUGACAUAAUUUAUGGAUCUCCCCCAAUCAAGAUUAUUAUAACUACUUGAAUUAUAUACACAAAGGAAGGGCAAACGUAGAAUUAUUAACUAUGUAUAUGAGGAUUGACAACUUUAGCCAUGUAACGUAUAUAUUAAAGCAUUUAUUAAUUCACAAACAUCUUUUUCUACAAGAUUAUUUGGUACACACAGUAAUUCCGAAUUACUAAUUCGUAUGAAUUUUGAGUUUGAGCCGUACUUGAAAUUCUUCACCUAUUUUCAAAAUUAAGAAACCUAGGACUUUUGACAGAUGAACUAUACUUGUGUACAAGAUCUGUCAUUUCACUAUUAUUUCCACAGAAAAUAAUAAUUUUCCAAAUGUCUCAAAACCGAACAUAUUCAAGGAACGAGAUAGCCGAGCCUUUCCGAAAACUGCCAACAUACGACAGUGCAACCGACACGAUUAAAGUAACUGAUCUUGAAGGGCUCUUGCAAGCCCUCAAGUUUAUUUACACGGCCGAGCAGCUUGAACAAUACCACAACUACUGGACUGAACUAUUCGACAGAAUAAUUCCCCUGGAGCUACUGGUCGCAACUUUUGGUUGUCAUGACGACCACAAUGAGCUCAUGAGGAUCCACGUGACUGCACUUGAUGCCGACAAAAAUGGAUACAUUGAUGAGAACGAGUUCAAAACUCUGAUGAAGGUUUUACUCCUGCACAACCCAAAUCUACCGAAGGUCGACUAUGCCCAGUUCGUUAAAGAAGCUGAUGCAAAUAAAGACGGCAAGAUUAGUAUUGACGAAGCAGUGGAAUGGUUUGUUAAAGGGACGAAGAUUUGAGAAAUUUUGUGAUUAAAGAUGGCAGAGAUUUUGAACUUUGUCAAUGAUUUCGAAUAUUUUUGGGAAUAAAUAAACACUUAUAGUGAGUA